UUUUUCCUUCAUCCAGGUUUUUAUCCCACUGGGUUUUUCCUGGUAAGGUUUUAACGAGGCAGUGUUGCUCAAGAUUGACUCACAGAAGCAGUGUCAACUACGAUAUUCAGAAAGCUGAUCAACAGUAUGAUUUAAAGAUAUUUUGCCAAGCAUCAGGGGGAGCGCGCUAUCAAUAAAGAUCUUCAAACACUGUACUCUUUUUCCUUCG
rnacentral:lncRNA from 1 species